AUGUCAUCAAACAAUUCCUCAACUCCCGUUGGUGGUGGUGAAGUUACAGAGGGAGUACCCGUAUCUGAUGAUGGCAGUAAGCGGCGGGAGUAUCUCGGAAGCAGGUGGGAGUGUUUAUUCGGUUCGAUGAGUUCGGAGGAGGUACGUAGACGGAGGGUGAGUGUUGGUGGUUACGCGAAACAGAAGGCGUGUGGAUGUUGCGGUCGGUUGAGAGAAGAGGAAGAUGAGUGGUGGUGA